UACGUAGGGGGCAAGCGUUGUCCGGAUUUAUUGGGCGUAAAGAGCUCGUAGGCGGUGUGUCGCGUCGGCCGUGAAAACUGUGGCUUAACCCUGAGCUUGCGGUCGAUACGGGCAUGACUGGAGUUCGGCAGGGGAGACUGGAAUUCCUGGUGUAGCGGUGAAAUGCGCAGAUAUCAGGAGGAACACCGGUGGCGAAGGCGGGUCUCUGGGCCGAUACUGACGCUGAGGAGCGAAAGCGUGGGGAGCGAACAGG
rnacentral:rRNA from 1 species